GUGAUGUAAUAUUGGGUCACUACUAACCUGACAACAGGCCAGAAGGAGGACCCUCUACUUCUGGGCCAGGGCUGACCACAGAUCCAACAAGCUCCCUGAGGCUCAUAAGAAGACACUUUGCCAAAAGAUACACGGACACCAACUAAGGUUUAACGAGCUGCUUUCCCUGAUAUCUCAUUUAAUACACCACCUCAUGAAUUGGGCAGCACAGCUACCUCUGCCUCUCUUCUAGAAAUAAGGGAUGCUCGUUCAGACAACUUUCUCGCCACAAUCUAAUGUGCCUCACCACUCCUAACCGACAGUCUUACCAGUCAGCUUGCCAGUAACUUGAAGCCUGCAAGUGUAACGGGCCAGCAAUUUGUGCUUUUCAAAGAUUCCAACUGCCAAAAAUAAAUGAGAGCUUAGGACACAGCCACCAUGCUUAAUACCCAAAGACUUAUUUUGUUUGUUUUAUUUUUCAAAGGCUGUGGCUUUGCUGGCUCCUGCUUUAUAUGAUUUCUUAUUAUGCUCUAUGUUGAAUUAUACUUUUAAAUUUUUGGACAAAUCACUGUAACACAGAAGUCUUGUUCAAUUUAACAAGCUGUGGAGAGUGGCAAAUGGGGGCAGGAGGGUUCUCUUGAUGCCAAAAAAACAAGACUGACUUUGAAGUAUCUUGGUCACAUUAACAGCAAAGAGCAUCCUUUUUCUCUUACCAUAAAAGUACCUUGUGAAAAUACUACAGAAUCUGAGACAUACACAAAGUUCAGGAAAGCCUCGUGACCAAUGUACUCACUGCUGGUGUAAAUAUAGUGACAGAGAUCACCAACACUACCUUUCCCAACAGUAGACCUUAACAUUUGGUACCCGUAUUGGAACGCACACCAAUCCUGAGCCUUCACAUGUCCAUCAGCUUCCAAGGUGGGAAUGAUCAACUAGUGAAGGAAAAGAACUGAAAUGGUCAUUAUAAGCCCUAUUUUCUAAAUGUUAGCUCUGCCACUAUGUCUCAGUUGUUCUCAUUUCUACUAAGGACAAUACAUAUGUGGCAGUGCUCUGGAGAAGACACUUCCAGGUAGCCCUAAACUACUUGUUCUUGCAGUGAGUGGGAAGUGCACACGCCAACUAAGAGCCGUGCCUUGGCUCCGAAUACCCCUGCAGUGAGGUCAUAGCGAAGCCAGUCCAAGUGUUUGCUAGAAUAAACAAGAGGCCACAGAUGCGAUCUGAGAUGGCUUCCCUCCCUGGGCAAACAACUAGGUGAAUGUGUCAAGAGGAGAAGAUGGUGUAAGAGGUAAAGAACAGGAGUAGCCAGACCCCAAAUGUAGAUAAUUUUUGCAUGUGUUCUCACCGACUUCUUUCGGCAUCCAUCUCAACAGAACUUAAGUACGUUUCUAUGAGGUUAUAAACUGCACCGUUUCCCCCAUUUAGGUACCUGCCCCAAAUCACCAGGAAGAGAUAGGGAAAGUGAUAAAGGACUUACACAUUC